rnacentral:rRNA from 1 species
GCCCUAAAUCUCGAUGCUUACCCCACCAAAGCAUCCGCCCGAGGACUACGAGCACAAACGCUUAAAACUCUAAGGACUUGGCGGUGCCCCAAACCCACCUAGAGGAGCCUGUUCUGUAAUCGACAACCCACGAUAUACCCGACCACUUCUUGCCAAUAACAGCCUACAUACCGCCGUCGUCAGCCCACCUUCCCUGAAAGUUCAGCAGUGGGCACAAUUGCCCCAACCCCCGCUAAUAAGACAGGUCAAGGUAUAGCCUAUGAAGUGGAAGAAAUGGGCUACAUUUUCUAGCUUAGAAAACUCACGGAAGGGGGCGUGAAAUAGCCCCUGGAAGGCGGAUUUAGUAGUAAGGCGGGAUUAUAAAGCCCCCCUUAAAUCGGCUCUGAGGCAC